GCAGGUCUUUUGCUUUCUCUUUCCGGUCUCCCUCCCCUCCCCCUCUCGGGCCCGCGGGACCACAAUGCUCCGCGCCUCUUGUCAUUGGGAGGCGCCUUAAAGUGGGGGUCACUCGGAAAGAAAAGAACAGAAUUCCAUGGAUAACAGGAAAAACCCAAGAGUUGGUGCUGUGUUCCCAACCCUAGUCCAGCACAAACCUACGAGCCAAGGCAGCCAGUAUUUGGCCAUUCGUCCAUCCAUCUGCAUAUCCCAGGGAUGCACGAACAGAGAACAGUUCAGCCUCUCGGCCGCCUUCAAUAGAGCAAUGAGAAAGAAGUUAUUUGGGGGAGACUGCUUUUCGUCAUCUGAUUCUAUAUUGACCUGAAUAAAUAAGCUUAAAUACUUCUGAAGUUCCUUCUUGAUCUGUAUAAAAGAUUCCUUGACCAAUUUAGUCCUGCUUGAAGAAAUAAAAAAGAUUAACCAU
rnacentral:lncRNA from 1 species